rnacentral:rRNA from 1 species
AGUGAACGCUGGCGGUAGGCCUAACACAUGCAAGUCGAACGGCAGCACAGUAAGAGCUUGCUCUUACGGGUGGCGAGUGGCGGACGGGUGAGGAAUACAUCGGAAUCUACUUUUUCGUGGGGGAUAACGUAGGGAAACUUACGCUAAUACCGCAUACGACCUACGGGUGAAAGCAGGGGAUCUUCGGACCUUUCGCGAUUGAAUGAGCCGAUGUCGGAUUAGCUAGUUGGCGGGGUAAAGGCCCACCAAGGCGACGAUCCGUAGCUGGUCUGAGAGGAUGAUCAGCCACACUGGAACUGAGACACGGUCCAGACUCCUACGGGAGGCAGCAGUGGGGAAUAUUGGACAAUGGGCGCAAGCCUGAUCCAGCCAUACCGCGUGGGUGAAGAAGGCCUUCGGGUGGUAAAGCCCUUUUGUUGGGAAAGAAAAGCAGCAGGUUAAUACCCCGCUGUUCUGACGGUACCCAAAGAAUAAGCACCGGCUAACUUCGUG